rnacentral:rRNA from 1 species
UACGAAGGGGGCUAGCGUUGUUCGGAAUUACUGGGCGUAAAGGGCGCGUAGGCGGCCCUGUCAGUCAGAUGUGAAAGCCCCGGGCUCAACCUGGGAACCGCAUUUGAUACUGCAGGGCUUGAGUUCCGGAGAGGAUGGUGGAAUUCCCAGUGUAGAGGUGAAAUUCGUAGAUAUUCGGCGGAACACCAGUGGCGAAGGCGACUCACUGGCCCGAUACUGACGCUGAGGCGCGAAAGCGUGGGGAGCAAACAGG